GGCCCAGUAGUGAAGUUGGAUUAUCACGUAGCCCUGUCACGGCUAAGACCGCGGGUUCAAGCCCCGCCUGGGUCGCCA
rnacentral:tRNA from 1 species